CGAUCCCGAUCAGCUCCACCAACCAAACACUAAACGGGUCUGUAGCUCAGGUGGUUAGAGCGCACCCCUGAUAAGGGUGAGGUCGGUGGUUCNAGUCCUCCCAGACCCACCAUUCUGGAUGUUGCGCACGCGAGUUUUAUGUCGGGGGGACGUUGAGGGCGCGCGGAUGUCCGGUGACCACUCGCCGACUGACACGCGUUGGAGUUCUCGGCGGGGGGGGGGUGUGUUGUGGGUUCAGGGGGCCCACGCCAGGGCGUCGGGGCCGCGCGCCAAAGGGGCCGCGCUCCGCGGCGCGCCUGAUG
rnacentral:misc_RNA from 1 species